GGUUUGUAGCAAUACAAAUACUCGUGGCGAACGGGUGCGUAACACGUGGAUAACCUUCCUUCAGGUGGGGAAUAACCCAGUGAAAAUUGGGCUAAUACCGCAUAACAUCGCGAUGGCACAUGCUGUUGCGUUCAAAGCCGCAAGGCGCCAGAAGAGGGAUCCGCGGCCGAUUAGCUUGUUGGCGAGGUAAUGGCUCACCAAGGCUUUGAUCGGUAUCCGGACUGAGAGGUUGGCCGGACACACUGGAACUGAGACACGGUCCAGACUCCUACGGGAGGCAGCAGUGGGGAAUCUUGCACAAUGGACGAAAGUCUGAUGCAGCAACGCCGCGUGGGGGAUGAAGCUUCUCGGAGUGUAAACCCCUUUCGACCUGGACGAAUGCCCGCAAGGGUUUGACGGUACAGGUAUAAGAAGCCCCGGCUAACUACGUGCCAGCAGCCGCGGUAAUACGUAGGGGGCCAGCGUUGCUCGGAAUUACUGGGCGUAAAGGGUCCGUAGGCGGUGUGGUAAGUCGAUAGUGAAAUCUCUGGGCUUAACCCAGAGGCUGCUAACGAAACUACCAUGCUAGAGUGUGAGAGAGGCGAGUGGAAUUACGGGUGUAGCGGUGAAAUGCGUAGAUAUCCGUAGGAACAUCCGAGGCGAAAGCGGCUCGCUGGAUCACAACUGACGCUGAGGGACGAAAGCUAGGGGAGCAAACAGGAUUAGAUACCCUGGUAGUCCUAGCCCUAAACCAUCAUGACUUGGGGUUUGCCCUGUACGGGGCAAGUCCCGUAGCUAACGCGUUAAGUCAUGCGCCUGGGGAGUACGGUCGCAAGGCUGAAACUC
rnacentral:rRNA from 1 species